rnacentral:rRNA from 1 species
CCUACGGGGUGCUGCAGUGGGGAAUAUUGGACAAUGGGCGAAAGCCUGAUCCAGCCAUGCCGCGUGUGUGAAGAAGGCCUUCGGGUUGUAAAGCACUUUCAGUGGGGAAGAAAGCCUUGGGGCUAAUACCCUCGAGGAAGGACAUCACCCACAGAAGAAGCACCGGCUAACUCCGUGCCAGCAGCCGCGGUAAUACGGAGGGUGCGAGCGUUAAUCGGAAUUACUGGGCGUAAAGCGCGCGUAGGCGGUCUGAUAAGCCGGUUGUGAAAGCCCCGGGCUCAACCUGGGAACGGCAUCCGGAACUGUCAGGCUAGAGUGCAGGAGAGGAAGGUAGAAUUCCCGGUGUAGCGGUGAAAUGCGUAGAGAUCGGGAGGAAUACCAGUGGCGAAGGCGGCCUUCUGGACUGACACUGACGCUGAGGUGCGAAAGCGUGGGUAGCAAACAGGAUUAGAUACCUAUGUC